UUCCAUCCAUUUUUGGUUGGAUGGUGGAGGUGUUUUAUGGCAGUAAAUCUGCAGUACUGCUUUCUGGAUUAAUGCUGCCUUCACGUGCUAUUGGAAUUAUGGUAAAUACGAGUUCCCGAUGGCUGAGAGUAGGACGAGAUUCGUCACGGAUGCAGGAACGCUGCCAGGUACUCGAUUGGGUUUGGCGGUCUCUCUUUGGCAACCAAUGAAAGGCCCUGCAGCAGAAUGGGGACCACGGUUCUGUCAAGGUACACUCGGAUUGGCAGUGCCUGCAGGUCCACCCUUUGCCUGGAGAUCUCUGUGCUUGCCUUCUCAUUCUCCGUCAUCCUCUGGGUGCUUUCUGGCAGGCCGUGUUCUUUGCGAGAGUCUUCAGACCCUGGUUUCUGUCCCUCCAUGGUCUAAUUUGUUUAAUCUGAGGGGAUAAUGCUUGCAGGGUUGCGAGGGGAGCUGGAGCCGAUUGCAGCCGACAUUGGGUAGGAGGCAAACCCUGGACAGAUCACCAGUCUUUCAUCGGGUCAAAAUACAGACAAACAAUCACUCGCACUCACAUUCACAUUUAGAUUUAGACUCUUGACCCAACCACAAGCUGCAUGUCUUUGGACUGUGGGAAGAAGCUGGUGAACCCAGAUAAAACUCACACACACAGAACAGAAUAUAGUUUCAAAAUAUUUACCAAAACCCAACAGACCCAUCAGAGCUCAGGUUAGGUGGUGUGUGUUUGGUAUUGAAGGAUAGGCAGCUCUCUGUAUGGGUCAGAAGGACAGAAACUGUCCAUUCUCUCUCCAAAUAGAGAUGGUAUCUAUAAUAUUGCACAAUGUACUAAUGAAGCAAGUGCUGCUUUCCAGUAGCAAACACUGCUGAAGGGAUUUCCAAUUUUAUUCCAUUGGCAGACCUGCAUUUGCUUUAAAUGCUCAGAACCGCAGUAAGCAAUUCCCGGUAAAGCAUCACUAUGGAUGAAGAACCAGUGUUGUGAAACGGGAAAUCAUUUUUGCCACACAAACCUGCACUGUAAUGUGCAAAUGUCAGUCAGACUUUUGAGUUGCACUUACCUGUG